rnacentral:rRNA from 1 species
GACGAACGCUGGCGGCGUGGAUUAGGCAUGCAAGUCGAACGGUAGGAUCCUUUCGGGGAUCUGAGAGUGGCGAACGGGUGAGUAACACGUAGGUGAUCUACCCUCAAGACGGGGACAACCCAGGGAAACUUGGGCUAAUACCGGAUGUGAGCUAUCGCGAGAUAGUUUGAAAGGUGGCUUCGGCUGCCGCUUGAGGAUGAGCCUGCGUCCUAUUAGCUAGUUGGUGAGGUAACGGCUCACCGAGGCAGUGAUAGGUAGGCGGCCUUAACGGGUGGUCGCCCACACUGGGAUUGAGAUACGGCCCAGACUCCUACGGGAGGCAGCAGUCGAGAAUAGUCUACAAUGGUCGAAAGACUGAUAGUGCGACGCCGCGUGAACGAAGAAGCCCUUCGGGGUGUAAGUUCUUUUAUAUGUGAGCAGUGACAUCUAUAUUAAUAGUAUGGGUGUAGAGAUAUUAGCAUAUGAAUAAGCAACGGCUAACUCCGUGCC